CGGUACUGUCUCUCAAGAUUUCUCUAGAUCAGGAGAGAGAGAGAGAGAUGGGCACCGGAUCUUUUCUCAAAGUUGUGGCGAAAAACUUCGAUGUUCUCGCCGGGCCUUUUGUGACACUGGUCUAUCCCUUGUAUGCUUCGGUCAAGGCCAUAGAAACCAAAUCUCCAAUUGAUGAUCAGCAAUGGCUCACUUAUUGGGUGCUGUACUCUAUGCUUACACUCUUCGAGCUUACUUUUGCCAAAGUUAUUGAAUGGUUACCAUUCUGGACUCAUGCAAAACUGAUCCUGAACUGCUGGUUGGUCCUACCCUAUUUCAG
rnacentral:misc_RNA from 1 species